GGAGACGUGGCCGAGCGGUCGAAGGCGCUCCCCUGCUAAGGGAGUAGGCCCGGAAGGGUCUCGAGGGUUCGAAUCCCUUCGUCUCUGCCA
rnacentral:tRNA from 3 species